CUAUGGCCAUGGGUAUGAUGGAAGCAGUGCCCACCUGUGCUUCAAGCCCUUGCUUUGUACUGGUCAUGAAAGGAAAGUGAAUUAUUUUAGUGUGCAAGAACAGCUCUGAAGUAAGGGUUCUUAGCACUGACUGAAAGCAAGAUCCAAACCAUGUUGGAGGAAAGUAGGACAAGAUUCAUGUCGGUUUUGGUUGACGGGAUUCGAGUCAGAGAACUGCAGUUGUAAGGCAGGGUCCUAAAGGCCGACCUUCAAUGGCAACACUGGUGCCCUCCCCUUCAGGCUGCUUUGAAUCCUGUCCUUUGACUUCCCCCUUUCUUUGACUGUCCCAAACACUCACGCAGGCCCGUGGAUUCCAUUCUUGAUGCCGUGUUCACCGUGUCCCCGAAGAGGCAGUACCGGGGCAUGGUCAGCCCCACCACGCCUGCCACACAAGGCCCUGAAAGACACGUCAGCUGCGUUACCCCAAUGGCCCCGCAUAAAUCUAGGGGUUCACUGACAAACAGAUCUCAUCCUCUCCUCUGAUACUCAAAAAACCUAUUGGAAAUACAGAAGAAGAUUUUCUAAAGAUCUCAUUGGCCUUGGUGCUUGCCACAAGCAGUCCAAAGUUAAGCAUUGCUCUGGAUUUCAUGCUGGUGUUUCAUGUCUGAGAAAGGUCGUGUGUGGUAGGCCCUCGGUUCACCAUUAUCUGGGAGAAAUUUGUUCUGAGUUCAUGGAAACUGAAGAACAAUCAUAAUCUCAUUUUAGAAAGGUCUUUUUCUAUGUGAGAAAACUAAAGUUCAGAUCCUGUGACAUGCCCUGUAAGCUACUGAAACAGGAUUAAAAAUCAGCCUUGGGACUCCAGAGGUGCUGGCAGCACUCUGGACCACCCUGUGUCCCCUCCUUGGAAAAGAAGACACUGUUAGCUGGCCUGUCUAGCCAAGACCUCUUUUUUCCCUCUUUCUCAUUCUUUAUCCAAGAUCUGUUCAGUUCCUCAGUAGCUUCCAAAGAAUCAUUGCCAAGUUGUCAGGGAGAGUUUUCAGAUCUAUCUUAAGGAUAGUAAAACUCCACUGCUGCAACUUCAUAAGAACCCCUCUUGCUGUGAACUCUGAAAAGUUGUUGCUGCCCAAAGUUGCCGGAUUUUAAAAUACUUCAUGAGGAUGCAAACUCAGAGUUCUUCAUUGAGAUGUGCUUUCUCCUUCUGACCUGAAGUUGAGCUGCUGGAACUUUUCAGAUAAUUUGUGGCUUUAGAGGCUACCUUAGACUCAACAGUGGAGUCAGCAGGUUCAAAAUUCUUCACGGCUUCAUAGAAGCAAAAGAAGGGGUUUGUAAAACCUGUUUGGAACAGACUACUCAGGAUAAUGGUUGGAGUUACCAUCCCUGGAAGUGCUCAAGAAACAUGUGGAUGUGGCACAGGAGGACAUGGUUUAACAGCACACAUGGUGGUGGUACAGGGUUGAUAAUUGACUAUCUUAAAAGUCUUUUCCAACCUUAAUGAGUCUAUGAUUCUAUGACCUUAUAAGAACACAGGAACUACAUUGCUUGAUCAGAAAGGAGGGUUAUUUUCCCAGUACCUGUCCAUGAUAUUGGCCAGGUAUGUGGGAACCACAUAACAGAUGUGUGGGAAAACUGUUUAAAGAGGCCUCAGGUACAGUCAUAUUCUCCAAGUUUCCACCAAUCUAGAAUUGAGUGACCUCCUAUGCCAAAUGUUGUAUCUUUGUCUUUAACAGUCUUUGGUGAAUUUUCCUUACAGUUACCAUUUAAAUAUUUUAGAAGAUUAAAAGAAAAAUAGGUCUGAAGGUGCAUAAUUUGCAAAUCUUUCAUCUCCAUGAGACCAUCUGUGCAGGUACACUGCAAAUGAGAAGACAUCAAGCCCAUGUCCAGAGUGCUUCAUCUCCCCUAAGUCAGGACAAGUCCAGGGCUCUGCAACUUCUCCAUUCUUGAAUAACUGAGUUACAGAAAAAAAACCAAAAAAAAAACCAAAAAAAAAAAACCAACCCAACAAAAAACACCAAACAAUAAAACACUUCCCUGCCAAGAACAAACAAUAGGAUUACACCAGCUUCUUUAUUUACUGACCUUAUGAAAUACCUCCUCAAAGGUUGGACGUCGUUCAGGGGCUUCAGCCCAGCAUUGCUUCAUUACCUGGAUGCAUGUCAGGGGGGCUACCUCAGGAGCUAUGUUUGGGCGACACAGGGGAGGGGGCUUCUUCACUUUCUUUAUAAUUUCUGUGGCAAGAGAAGAAUGGGAAGAACACUGUAAGAUGGAGGGCCUUGAUAGGGGUAAAGGACAUGGACCUUUUCUUGUGUCCCUGGCUUGCUUCUUCAGCUGUCACUCUUAGUCCUUAGUACCCAGUCUGUGCCAAAUGAAGCUGGAUGUUUCUGCUUUUCUGUGUCAGUAGUCUCUUGAAGGAUUUAAAGAAGAUUCAUGUCUCUGGAGAACCAGGUUAUGAGUAAUAAAGUGGCUGGAUUGGGUAAGGAUGUGUGACAGAUGGAUGUGUGAGCCUGCAGGCUUGUAUUUAAUUAAAUUGCCUCUGGCUCUCUCCACCAGGACCUGCAGUCUUCUAAGACAGCAGAGGUUUAUGGCUGAGCCCAGACAGGAAGGAUACCAGCCUCUGGUGCUUCAUCAUUAACUGGGAACCAGGACGUAGGAGGCUGCUGGGAGUGGCGACAGUGGAAAGUAUGUUAAGGGGGAGAGGUUGAGUUCAAAACAGUGUCUGGGAAAUUACUCCCUGUCUAGAGCUCCCUUCCUAGAAAUGAGGCUUGUAAGGAAUUGGGCUUGGGUUUCCAAGCCCUGAGAAGUCAGCCUUUUAACACCCACCAAAGUUAUGGUAUUUGACAUCUUAUUUUGUUCAGUGCAGAGCAGACAAACAGAAUGAAAACCUCUUUCUCUGGCAGGAGUCCUGCUGUUGCUGAGUA